UCCAUUUAGCUCUGCUUCAUGGUCUCCUA
rnacentral:piRNA from 1 species